rnacentral:rRNA from 1 species
CAAUAGCGUAUAUUUAAGUUGUUGCAGUUAAAAAGCUCGUAGUUGGAUUUUGGUUAAGAGGGCGCGGUCGGCCGUUUGGUCUGUACUGCGUUGUCUUGACUUCCUGAUGAGGACAUGCUCUUGGUUAACGCUGAGACAUGGAGUCAUCGUGGUUACUUUGAAAAAAUUAGAGUGUUCAAAGCGGGCUUACGCUUGAAUAUAUUAGCAUGGAAUAAUGGAAUAGGACCCUGGUCCUAUUUUGUUGGUUUUGAGGACUAGAGUAAUGAUUAAUAGGGAUAGUUGGGGGCAUUCAUAUUUAAUUGUCAGAGGUGAAAUUCUUGGAUUUAUGAAAGAUGAACUUCUGCGAAAGCAUUUGCCAAGGAUGUUUUCAUUAAUCAAGAACGAAAGUUAGGGGAUCGAAGAUGAUCAGAUACCAU